rnacentral:rRNA from 1 species
GACCCUUGUGGAUAUCUGUAGUAAUUCUAGAGCUAAUACAUGCACGCAAGCACCGAUCCUCCGUGAGAAGUGCGCUUUUAUUAGAACAAGACCGGCGGUGAGGAGUAACUACCGUAGCCCCGUCGUGUUGACUCUGGAUAACUUAGCCGAUCGCACGGCCCUGGACGCCGGCGACGCAUCUUUCAAAUGUCUGACCCAUCAGCUGGUUGGCCGGGUAGUGGCCGGCAAAGGAGGUGACGGGUAACAGAGAAUCAGGGUUCGAUUCUGGAGAGGGAGCCUGAGAAACGGCUACCACGUCCAAGGAAGGCAGCAGGCGCGCAAAUUACCCACUCCCGACUCGGGGAGGUAGUGACGAAAAAUAACGAUAGACGACUCAGUCGAGGCUGUCUAAUCGGAAUGAGUAUAGUCUAAAGCCUUAACACGAGGAGCUAGUAGAGGGCAAGUCUGGUGCCAGCAGCCGCGGUAACUCCAGCUCUACAGGCGUAAACGUGAGUUGUUGUAGUUAAAACGCUCGUCGUUGGAUUUGAACCUAGGCCGCGGACGGUACGGGGGCAGAGUUCCCUCGCUAUCGGUGCGGUCGGUCGCAGGCGAGUUGCACACACAGCGGAUCCCCUUGGUUGGGCGUCCGCGGGCUCGCGUACGUUACCUUGAACAAAUGAGGGUGUUCAUGGCAGGCUAGCACACGCCUGGAUAGUCUAGCAUGGAAUAACAGAACUCGACUCCGGUCUUUUUCUGGCUGGUCUCUAGGACUCGGAGGGAUGAUCAAUAAGGACGGCCGGAGGCGAUAGUACUCCUGCGUUAGAGGUGAAAUUCUUGGAUCGCAGGAUGACUGACCGCAGCGAAAGCAUUCGCCUAGCACGUCCUCAUUAAUCAAGAACGAAAGUUAGAGGAUCGAAGACGAUCAGAUACCGUCCUAGUUCUGACCAUAAACGAUGCCGACAGGCGAUCGGUCGUAAGUACUUUGCAAACCCUUACUCAUGACACGGCCGGCAGCCCUCGGGAAACCAAAGUCUUUGGGUUCCGGGGGUAGUAUGGUUGCAAAGCUGAAACUUAAAGGAAUUGACGGAAGGGCACCACCAGGAGUGGAGCUUGCGGCUUAAUUUGACUCAACACGGGGAACCUCACCUGGGCCGGACACUGCAAGGAUUGACAGAUUGAGAGCUCUUUCUUGAUUCGGUGGGUGGUGGUGCAUGGCCGUUCU